AAGAAAACCCUCUCUUCUUCAUUUCUUCUUCUUCUCUCUCUUUUUCUUCUGACUGUAACUUCAAUGGCGGUUUCUUCUAGAAAAUCAAGCGGCCCGGUUCUGAGGUCUCUUUCACCUUCCGGGAGGUUCUAUGGCUCCUAUUCUUCUUCUUCAUCUUCUUCCUCGUCGGCCUUUGCUUCAUCCACAUCAAGCUUUUCCACCAGAAACCCUACUUCGUUUUUCCGUAGAUCUGUAUCUCCUUCUCGUGUUAAUCUGCAAGGAUCUUCUUCUCCGUCAGCAUCGUCUGUGAGAUUUUCACUGGACCGGUCUAUUUCUCCGAAUCGGCCUAUCUCUGUUUUGUCUCGUACCAGUGGGAAUCAUCAAGUAGUGAAGAGACAGAGCAACCAGAAGAGGACCUGCAUGUGUUCCCCAACCACGCACCCUGGUUCGUUCCGGUGCAGUCUCCACAAAGGCGUUCAGUCGCAACCUUCGACUCCUUACUCGUCUAAUCGGCUCAACGCUCGGAGAUCGGCGAUGACGAACUCUCUGGUUAGGAUCGGAGGAGUUGAAGGCGAUAUAUUGAGGCGAGCUUUGGCGUCUCUCAUCCGACCUUCCUCUCAUAGUCAAAGACGACGAGCGGAUUUCUGUCCAAGACCGAGCCGGCUUUCAAUCAUGUCGAAAGCCGAUGAUCUGUGAUGGAGAUGAUUUUGGUACGUUGGCCAAUAACCUCUGGUUUAUUAAUCUUUUUACCUCUUCUCUGAGUUUUCAACGACGAAGACGGCGGAUUCCAACACAGGUUCGACGGCAAGGAUACAGAAUUGGAGGCGAAGCUUGGGAAUGGGAUCUGAUUGCCUCUACAGGACACCUCGCUUUCUGGAGUUGAACUAGAA
rnacentral:misc_RNA from 1 species